AAAUGUGAGCGUUGUCACUUCAAAGUGGCCAACAGUCUCAGUAUCAUCCGAUAAGAAAAACCCUCGCUGCCAGACGGCGAGGGUUUUUCUUUU
rnacentral:sRNA from 1 species